UACGUAGGGGGCAAGCGUUGUCCGGAAUCAUUGGGCGUAAAGCGCGUGUAGGCGGCUUGGUAAGUCCGUUCUGAAAGCCCGGGGCUCAACCCCGGGAGGCGGAUGGAUACUGUCAAGCUUGAGUCCGGAAGAGGCGAGUGGAAUUCCCGGUGUAGAGGUGAAAUGCGCAGAUAUCGGGAGGAACACCAAUGGCGAAGGCAGCUCGCUGGGACGUGACUGACGCUGAGACGCGAAAGCGUGGGGAGCAAACAGG
rnacentral:rRNA from 1 species